rnacentral:rRNA from 1 species
CAGGCCUUGACAUCCAAUGAACUUUCCAGAGAUGGAUUGGUGCCUUCGGGAACAUUGAGACAGGUGGUGCAUGGUUGUCGUCAGCUCGUGUCGUGAGAUGUUGGGUUAAGUCCCGCAACGAGCGCAACCCUUAUCGAUAGUUGCUAGCGGUUCGGCCGAGCACUCUAUUGAGACUGCCGUUGACAAAACGGAGGAAGGUGGGGAUGACGUCAAGUCCUCAUGGCCUUUAUGUCCAGGGCUACACACGUGCUACAAUGGCAAGUACAAGGCGCUGCAAACUCGCGAGAGGGAGCCAAUCGCAAAAAGCUUGUCUCAGUUCGGAUUGGAGUCUGCAACUCGACUCCAUGAAGCUGGAAUCGCUAGUAAUCGCAGAUCAGCACGCUGCGGUGAAUACGUUCCC